rnacentral:tRNA from 1 species
AAGGCUGUGGCUCAAUGGUAUAGCAUUUGCUUGGCAUGCCAAAGGUCUCAGGUUCCAGUCCCUGAUAACCCCA